ensembl:lncRNA
GUAAGACCAGUCUGAACGAGUGGACCCUAACGUGAGGUUUAAAAAAAAAGUUUUUUCAGGCGCAUGUGCAUUUCUUGUUAUUGUCCGGUUGAAAUAUUAUAGAUCAUUUAGGCUAAAAAAUAACCCUAGGAUUGAAUAUAAACAUCCUUUGACAUGUUUCUAUGAACUUUACGGAUACAACUACAAAUGUCUGAUUGUUUUGACUGAGUUUGAGCCUGUGGAUUACUGAAGAAAACGCGCUAACAAAACUGAGGUUUUUGGAUAUAAAGAGACUUCAUCGAACAAAAGGAACAUUUAUUGAGUAAAUGAAUGUCUUCUGAUUGCCACCAUAUGAAGAUCAUCAAAGUUUCCAGGCCCACCUCCCCUCCUGUGUCAUCGAUGGCCAUCCGGUGUACAGGGUGAGACGCCUCCUGAGUGUUCGACCACGGGGCAGGGGUUUCCAGUACCUGGUUAACUGGGAGCAUUAUGGGCCAGAGGAGAGGUGUUGGGUCCCUGCUAAGGACAUCCUUGACCCGGCUCUCAUUGCCAACUUUCACCGCCGGCAUCCCCAGGAGUUAUCAAUGAUCUUUAUCUCUGCAGCACAAAAUGGAGAUGUUGUUCAUGGUCACCAGACUACUGGACUUUUCCUCUUCACGGUGCGCAGGAGUAGGGUCAUGACAUUCAGACACCGCACCCGUGCUGUUCUCACAUGAUUGGUGGAGCAGAGCAGAACCCUGACUCCGGGGUUAGAGAAGAAGGCGAGCACUCUGGGCUGAGGCAUGCAUCUCAUUACUGAAGCAGAUGCCUCUGGUGGGGAAGGAGGAACAGAAGGACACAGAGGGGCUGGGAGAGGUUUGGAGAGGCAAAGGACUCACAGCCAAGAGGAAGGGAAUGGUGGGGCCCAGGGGGCAGACAAAGUCAUGUACAACAGGCCUAAGUGGCAGAGUGGCAGGGAACAAAGAAGAGCCUUCCUUCCCUCAAGCCACACAUUAAAUAUGCCCUCGGCUUGGAAUCUUAACAGAUGCAACAACCGGGGGAAUAGCUACAGGGAAGAGGAGAUGAAUGAGCCAAUUGUAAGCUGGGGAUGAUUAGGUGACCAUGAUGGUAUGAAGGCCAGAUUGGGAAUUUAGGCAGGACACCGGGGUUAACACCCCUACUCUUACGAUAAGUGCCAUGGGAUCUUUAGUGACCACAGAGAAUCAGGACACCAGUUUAACGUCCCAUCCGAAAGACAGCACCCUACUCAGGGCAAUGUCCCCAAUCACUUCCCUGGGGCAUUGGGAUAUUUGUUUAGACCAGAGGAAAGGUUGCCUCCUAUUGGCCCUCCAACACCACUUCCAGCAGCAUCUAGUCUCCCAUCCAAGACCAACCCUGUUAGCUUCAGAAGCAAGCCAGCAGUGGGAGGCAGGCUGGUUUGCUGCUUGUUUCAUGUGAAUUUGAUUUAAUUUAUUAUCUACUCAAAAACAUUGCUAAAAGGAAAGUUUACCCUUCUUUUGUAAAUGUUAUGGAAGACAGUACACCUUCACAAUAUACUGUAACUGCUGAUCAGGUCUGCCCAAUGUCCUCUUUCUUAACACCAGUGAAGGGAACCUGCCUUUAACAUGCACACUUCACUCCCCUUCAACUACAAGCUUGUUAUACCUUUGGUAGUUUCAUCAGACAAAGGAUGGACAAUCAAACAUACAAUAGCUCAGUCUUUCAAUAGUAACCCUAAUUAUUAUUAUCAUUGGAGAACGCAUCUCUCUUAGCUGUACAUACAAUAGAGAAGACAUAAUUGAGGGGUUGAAUAUACAGUGCCUUGUGAAAGUAUUCGGCCCCCUUGAACUUUGCGACCUUUUGCCACAUUUC